CGCGAAGAACCUUACCUGGUCUUGACAUGUACGGAAUCCUCCAGAGACGGAGGAGUGCCUUCGGGAGCCGUAACACAGGUGCUGCAUGGCUGUCGUCAGCUCGUGUCGUGAGAUGUUGGGUUAAGUCCCGCAACGAGCGCAACCCUUGUCAUUAGUUGCCAUCAUUAAGUUGGGCACUCUAAUGAGACUGCCGGUGACAAGCCGGAGGAAGGUGGGGAUGACGUCAAGUCCUCAUGGCCCUUAUGACCAGGGCUUCACACGUCAUACAAUGGUCGGUACAGAGGGUAGCCAAGCCGCGAGGUGGAGCCAAUCUCACAAAACCGAUCGUAGUCCGGAUUGCACUCUGCAACUCGAGUGCAUGAAGUCGGAAUCGCUAGUAAUCGCAGGUCAGCAUACUGCGGUGAAUACGUUCCCGGGUCUUGUACACACCGCCCGUC
rnacentral:rRNA from 1 species